rnacentral:rRNA from 1 species
AAAAAUAGUUAAAUUUUAGUAAGUUUAUUGAAUAUGUGUAUAAGAGUAAAAUCUAAAUAUAAGUAAAAAAUUCUAUUUAAACUUAAAUAUUGAAGCUAUGAAAACCUUGAGGGAAACUGGGAUUAGAUACCCCAUUAUUCUUGGAUGUAAAGUAAUUAUAAUUUACCAGAGUACUAUGAACUAAUAAUUUAAAACUUAAAGGGCUUGGCGGUGUUUUAGACCUCUUAGGGGAACCUGUCUCAUAAUCGACAGUCCACGCUCAAACCUGACCUUUUUUUGCAUCCAAUUUGUAUACCGUCGUCGUCAGGUAACUUUUUAGAAAAYAGAAGUUAGCAAYCAAAUAAUAGUAAAUUUAUACGUCAGAUCAAGGUGCAGUUAAUAAAAAGGGGAGGAUGGGUUACAAUUAUAUAAUUAUAAUUACGAAAAUUUUUUUGAAAUAAAAUGAUGAAGGAGGACUUAAAAGUAAGAUAAAAUAUAUAAAUAUUCUGAAUCAGGCUCUGAAACGUGCACACAUCGCCCGUCGCUCUCGCUGAAAAGUGAGAUAAGUCGUAACAUAGCAGGGGUAAUGGAAAUUGUUCCUAAAUU